GUGAUGCGAUGAUCGAAAUUCAAUGGUCUCUCAACCCACUGAUCUAAUUUGAUGUUACAUUGAACUUGACAGAUUUUGAUCGC